rnacentral:rRNA from 1 species
GGUAAUACGAAGGGUGCAAGCGUUACUCGGAAUUACUGGGCGUAAAGCGUGCGUAGGUGGUUGUUUAAGUCUGUUGUGAAAGCCCUGGGCUCAACCUGGGAAUUGCAGUGGAUACUGGGCGACUAGAGUGUGGUAGAGGGUAGUGGAAUUCCCGGUGUAGCAGUGAAAUGCGUAGAGAUCGGGAGGAACAUCCAUGGCGAAGGCAGCUACCUGGACCAACACUGACACUGAGGCACGAAAGCGUGGGGAGCAAACAGGAUU